UCUCUGCGUCUGGAGAACACAGGACGUCCACAGGAAAGUUCUCCCUCCUGCACUCCCGGCUGGCUCUGAAAAUUAUGAAGGCAGAGACGUCCGUGCCUGAUACUGUCCUGGCAGCCACGUGCCCUCAUACACUUGCCCAGACCCUGAAUGUGCUACACGGAGUGACCCCAAUUACACCGUGGGCCCCGGGUGACUGCGACAUGUGAGUGCAGGUUCACCCACGUCACAGACGAACCGCUCCGGUGCAGGGGGAGCUGCGCACGUCGGGGCGGGGGCUGUGGCGUGGGACCUCUGUACCUUCUCUCAAUUUGGCUGUAAGCCUACAACUGCCCUAAAAUAAAGUCUCUUUAUUUAUUUUUUUA
rnacentral:lncRNA from 1 species